UACAGAGGUCCCGAGCGUUGUUCGGAUUCACUGGGCGUAAAGGGUGCGUAGGCGGUCGUGCAAGUCGGAUGUGAAAUCUCAGGGCUCAACCCUGAAACUGCAUUCGAUACUGCGCGGCUAGAGUGCUGGAGGGGAGACUGGAAUUUACGGUGUAGCAGUGAAAUGCGUAGAUAUCGUAAGGAAGACCAGUGGCGAAGGCGAGUCUCUGGACAGCAACUGACGCUGAGGCACGAAGGCCAGGGGAGCAAACAGG
rnacentral:rRNA from 1 species